rnacentral:rRNA from 1 species
AUUGAACGCUGGCGGCAGGCUUAACACAUGCAAGUCGAGCGGGGUGAUGGUGCUUGCACUAUCACUUAGCGGCGGACGGGUGAGUAAUGCUUAGGAAUCUGCCUAUUAGUGGGGGACAACAUCUCGAAAGGGAUGCUAAUACCGCAUACGUCCUACGGGAGAAAGCAGGGGAUCACUUGUGACCUUGCGCUAAUAGAUGAGCCUAAGUCGGAUUAGCUAGUUGGUGGGGUAAAGGCCUACCAAGGCGACGAUCUGUAGCGGGUCUGAGAGGAUUAUCCGCCACACUGGGACUGAGACACGGACCAGACUCCUACGGGAGGCAGCAGUGGGGAAUAUUGGACAAUGGGGGGAACCCUGAUCCAGCCAUGCCGCGUGUGUGAAGAAGGCCUUAUGGUUGUAAAGCACUUUAAGCGAGGAGGAGGCUCUUUUGGUUAAUACCCAGAAUGAGUGGACGUUACUCGCAGAAUAAGCACCGGCUAACUCUGUGCCAGCAGCCGCCGCGG